rnacentral:rRNA from 1 species
UUCUUGGAUGAGUUGCGAACGGGUGAGUAACGCGUAGGUAACCUGCCUGGUAGCGGGGGAUAACUAUUGGAAACGAUAGCUAAUACCGCAUAAAAGUUGAUUAUUGCAUGAUAAAUAAUUGAAAGAUGCAAUUGCAUCACUACCAGAUGGACCUGCGUUGUAUUAGCUAGUUGGUGAGGUAACGGCUCACCAAGGCGACGAUACAUAGCCGACCUGAGAGGGUGAUCGGCCACACUGGGACUGAGACACGGCCCAGACUCCUACGGGAGGCAGCAGUAGGGAAUCUUCGGCAAUGGGGGGAAGCCUGACCGAGCAACGCCGCGUGAGUGAAGAAGGUUUUCGGAUCGUAAAGCUCUGUUGUAAGAGAAGAGAAGAGGUGUGAGAGUGGAUUUUU